rnacentral:rRNA from 1 species
AACGAACGCUGGCGGCAGGCUUAACACAUGCAAGUCGAGCGCCCCGCAAGGGGAGCGGCAGACGGGUGAGUAACGCGUGGGAACGUACCUUUUGGUUCGGAACAACUCCGGGAAACUGGAGCUAAUACCGGAUAAGCCCCAACGGGGAAAGAUUUAUCGCCGAAAGAUCGGCCCGCGUCUGAUUAGCUAGUUGGUGAGGUAACGGCUCACCAAGGCGACGAUCAGUAGCUGGUCUGAGAGGAUGAUCAGCCACACUGGGACUGAGACACGGCCCAGACUCCUACGGGAGGCAGCAGUGGGGAAUAUUGGACAAUGGGCGCAAGCCUGAUCCAGCCAUGCCGCGUGAGUGAUGAAGGCCUUAGGGUUGUAAAGCUCUUUUGUCCGGGAAGAUAAUGACUGUACCGGAAGAAUAAGCCCCGGCUAACUUCGUG